rnacentral:rRNA from 1 species
GCUAGCUACAGGCUUAACACAUGCAAGCCGAGGGGUAGCAGGGUAGCAAUACCGCUGACGACCGGCGCACGGGUGAGUAACACGUAUCCAACCUUCCCAUAACUCGGGGAUAGCCUUUCGAAAGAAAGAUUAAUACCCGAUAGUACUUUUUCAAGGCAUCUUGAGAAAGUUAAAGAUUUAUUGGCUAUGGAUGGGGAUGCGUUCCAUUAGAUAGUUGGUGAGGUAACGGCUCACCAAGUCUUCGAUGGAUAGGGGUUCUGAGAGGAAGGUCCCCCACAUUGGUACUGAGACACGGACCAAACUCCUACGGGAGGCAGCAGUGAGGAAUAUUGGUCAAUGGGCGAGAGCCUGAACCAGCCAAGUAGCGUGAAGGAUGACGG